CUUACGGGUGGCAGCAGUGGGGAAUAUUGGACAAUGGGCGAAAGCCUGAUCCAGCCAUGCCGCGUGUGUGAAGAAGGCCUUCGGGUUGUAAAGCACUUUCAGUGGGGAAGAAAGCCUUGGGGCUAAUACCCUCGAGGAAGGACAUCACCCACAGAAGAAGCACCGGCUAACUCCGUGCCAGCAGCCGCGGUAAUACGGAGGGUGCGAGCGUUAAUCGGAAUUACUGGGCGUAAAGCGCGCGUAGGCGGUCUGAUAAGCCGGUUGUGAAAGCCCCGGGCUCAACCUGGGAACGGCAUCCGGAACUGUCAGGCUAGAGUGCAGGAGAGGAAGGUAGAAUUCCCGGUGUAGCGGUGAAAUGCGUAGAGAUCGGGAGGAAUACCAGUGGCGAAGGCGGCCUUCUGGACUGACACUGACGCUGAGGUGCGAAAGCGUGGGUAGCAAACAGGAUUAGAUACCCGAGUAGUC
rnacentral:rRNA from 1 species